rnacentral:rRNA from 1 species
CGGGCAGGUGGUCCGUUAAGUCGUCUGUGAAAACCCGGGGCUCAACCCCGUGGAAUGCAGGCGAAACUGGCGGACUAGAGAUCGGUAGAGGCUAACGGAAUUCCUGGUGUAGCGGUGGAAUGCGUAGAUAUCAGGAAGAACACCAGUGGCGAAGGCGGUUAGCUGGGCCGAGUCUGACACUCAUCCGCGAAAGCGUGGGGAGCAAACAGGAUUAGAUACCCUGGUAGUCC